UACGUAGGGGGCGAGCGUUGUCCGGAUUUACUGGGCGUAAAGAGCGCGCAGGCGGUCGAUCAAGUCUAGUGUGAAAGCCCCCGGCUCAACUGGGGAGGGUCAUUCGAUACUGAUCGACUCGAAGGCAGGAGAGGGUAGUGGAAUUCCAGGUGUAGCGGUGAAAUGCGUAGAUAUCUGGAGGAACACCGGUGGCGAAGGCGGCGUUCUGGACUGCAACUGACACUGAGAGACGAAAGCCAGGGGAGCAAACGGG
rnacentral:rRNA from 1 species